GGGUUGUGAGGUUAAGCGACUAAGCGUACACGGUGGAUGCCCUGGCAGUCAGAGGCGAUGAAGGACGUGCUAAUCUGCGAUAAGCGUCGGUAAGGUGAUAUGAACCGUUAUAACCGGCGAUUUCCGAAUGGGGAAACCCAGUGUGUUUCGACACACUAUCAUUAACUGAAUCCAUAGGUUAAUGAGGCGAACCGGGGGAACUGAAACAUCUAAGUACCCCGAGGAAAAGAAAUCAACCGAGAUUCCCCCAGUAGCGGCGAGCGAACGGGGAGCAGCCCAGAGCCUGAAUCAGUGUGUGUGUUAGUGGAAGCGUCUGGAAAGGCGCGCGAUACAGGGUGACAGCCCCGUACACAAAAAUGCACAUGCUGUGAGCUCGAUGAGUAGGGCGGGACACGUGGUAUCCUGUCUGAAUAUGGGGGGACCAUCCUCCAAGGCUAAAUACUCCUGACUGACCGAUAGUGAACCAGUACCGUGAGGGAAAGGCGAAAAGAACCCCGGCGAGGGGAGUGAAAAAGAACCUGAAACCGUGUACGUACAAGCAGUGGGAGCACGCUUAGGCGUGUGACUGCGUACCUUUUGUAUAAUGGGUCAGCGACUUAUAUUCUGUAGCAAGGUUAACCGAAUAGGGGAGCCGAAGGGAAACCGAGUCUUAACUGGGCGUUAAGUUGCAGGGUAUAGACCCGAAACCCGGUGAUCUAGCCAUGGGCAGGUUGAAGGUUGGGUAACACUAACUGGAGGACCGAACCGACUAAUGUUGAAAAAUUAGCGGAUGACUUGUGGCUGGGGGUGAAAGGCCAAUCAAACCGGGAGAUAGCUGGUUCUCCCCGAAAGCUAUUUAGGUAGCGCCUCGUGAAUUCAUCUCCGGGGGUAGAGCACUGUUUCGGCAAGGGGGUCAUCCCGACUUACCAACCCGAUGCAAACUGCGAAUACCGGAGAAUGUUAUCACGGGAGACACACGGCGGGUGCUAACGUCCGUCGUGAAGAGGGAAACAACCCAGACCGCCAGCUAAGGUCCCAAAGUCAUGGUUAAGUGGGAAACGAUGUGGGAAGGCCCAGACAGCCAGGAUGUUGGCUUAGAAGCAGCCAUCAUUUAAAGAAAGCGUAAUAGCUCACUGGUCGAGUCGGCCUGCGCGGAAGAUGUAACGGGGCUAAACCAUGCACCGAAGCUGCGGCAGCGACGCUGAUGCGUUGUUGGGUAGGGGAGCGUUCUGUAAGCCUGCGAAGGUGUGCUGUGAGGCAUGCUGGAGGUAUCAGAAGUGCGAAUGCUGACAUAAGUAACGAUAAAGCGGGUGAAAAGCCCGCUCGCCGGAAGACCAAGGGUUCCUGUCCAACGUUAAUCGGGGCAGGGUGAGUCGACCCCUAAGGCGAGGCCGAAAGGCGUAGUCGAUGGGAAACAGGUUAAUAUUCCUGUACUUGGUGUUACUGCGAAGGGGGGACGGAGAAGGCUAUGUUGGCCGGGCGACGGUUGUCCCGGUUUAAGCGUGUAGGCUGGUUUUCCAGGCAAAUCCGGAAAAUCAAGGCUGAGGCGUGAUGACGAGGCACUACGGUGCUGAAGCAACAAAUGCCCUGCUUCCAGGAAAAGCCUCUAAGCAUCAGGUAACAUCAAAUCGUACCCCAAACCGACACAGGUGGUCAGGUAGAGAAUACCAAGGCGCUUGAGAGAACUCGGGUGAAGGAACUAGGCAAAAUGGUGCCGUAACUUCGGGAGAAGGCACGCUGAUAUGUAGGUGAAGUCCCUCGCGGAUGGAGCUGAAAUCAGUCGAAGAUACCAGCUGGCUGCAACUGUUUAUUAAAAACACAGCACUGUGCAAACACGAAAGUGGACGUAUACGGUGUGACGCCUGCCCGGUGCCGGAAGGUUAAUUGAUGGGGUCAGCGCAAGCGAAGCUCUUGAUCGAAGCCCCGGUAAACGGCGGCCGUAACUAUAACGGUCCUAAGGUAGCGAAAUUCCUUGUCGGGUAAGUUCCGACCUGCACGAAUGGCGUAAUGAUGGCCAGGCUGUCUCCACCCGAGACUCAGUGAAAUUGAACUCGCUGUGAAGAUGCAGUGUACCCGCGGCAAGACGGAAAGACCCCGUGAACCUUUACUAUAGCUUGACACUGAACAUUGAGCCUUGAUGUGUAGGAUAGGUGGGAGGCUUUGAAGUGUGGACGCCAGUCUGCAUGGAGCCGACCUUGAAAUACCACCCUUUAAUGUUUGAUGUUCUAACGUUGACCCGUGAUCCGGGUUGCGGACAGUGUCUGGUGGGUAGUUUGACUGGGGCGGUCUCCUCCUAAAGAGUAACGGAGGAGCACGAAGGUUGGCUAAUCCUGGUCGGACAUCAGGAGGUUAGUGCAAUGGCAUAAGCCAGCUUGACUGCGAGCGUGACGGCGCGAGCAGGUGCGAAAGCAGGUCAUAGUGAUCCGGUGGUUCUGAAUGGAAGGGCCAUCGCUCAACGGAUAAAAGGUACUCCGGGGAUAACAGGCUGAUACCGCCCAAGAGUUCAUAUCGACGGCGGUGUUUGGCACCUCGAUGUCGGCUCAUCACAUCCUGGGGCUGAAGUAGGUCCCAAGGGUAUGGCUGUUCGCCAUUUAAAGUGGUACGCGAGCUGGGUUUAGAACGUCGUGAGACAGUUCGGUCCCUAUCUGCCGUGGGCGCUGGAGAACUGAGGGGGGCUGCUCCUAGUACGAGAGGACCGGAGUGGACGCAUCACUGGUGUUCGGGUUGUCAUGCCAAUGGCACUGCCCGGUAGCUAAAUGCGGAAGAGAUAAGUGCUGAAAGCAUCUAAGCACGAAACUUGCCCCGAGAUGAGUUCUCCCUGAC
rnacentral:rRNA from 1 species